GACGUAGGGCGCGAGCGUUGUCCGGAAUUAUUGGGCGUAAAGCGCGUGUAGGCGGCAGUGCAAGUCGGGUGUGAAAGCCCUCAGCUCAACUGAGGAAGUGCGCCCGAAACUGCAUUGCUUGAGUACCGGAGAGGAUGGUGGAAUUCCCGAAGUAGAGGUGAAAUUCGUAGAUAUCGGGAGGAACACCGGUGGCGAAGGCGACCAUCUGGACGGAUACUGACGCUGAGACGCGAAAGCGUGGGUAGCAAACAGG
rnacentral:rRNA from 1 species